rnacentral:rRNA from 1 species
UUCGGACCUAGCGGCGGACGGGUGAGUAAUGCGUAGGAAGCUACCCGAUAGAGGGGGAUACCAGUUGGAAACGACUGUUAAUACCGCAUAAUGUCUACGGACCAAAGUGUGGGACCUUCGGGCCACAUGCUAUCGGAUGCGCCUACGUGGGAUUAGCUAGUUGGUGAGGUAAUGGCUCACCAAGGCGACGAUCUCUAGCUGGUUUGAGAGGAUGAUCAGCCACACUGGGACUGAGACACGGCCCAGACUCC